CAGUAGCCACGGUAAUACGGAGGGUGCAAGCGUUAAUCGGAAUUACUGGGCGUAAAGCGCACGCAGGCGGUUUGUUAAGUCAGAUGUGAAAUCCCCGAGCUUAACUUGGGAACUGCAUUUGAAACUGGCAAGCUAGAGUCUUGUAGAGGGGGGUAGAAUUCCAGGUGUAGCGGUGAAAUGCGUAGAGAUCUGGAGGAAUACCGGUGGCGAAGGCGGCCCCCUGGACAAAGACUGACGCUCAGGUGCGAAAGCGUGGGGAGCAAACAGGAUUAGAUACCCCUGUAGUCCCUGUCUCUUAUAU
rnacentral:rRNA from 1 species